CCCGGCCGUCGCCGAGCCGGGCGAGGGUGACGCGCGUCAGGGGCGCGGUGCGCGGGUCCAGGCCGCGGGCCCGGUCC
rnacentral:tRNA from 2 species